AGGAAUAUAUAUAUAAUUAAUCAACGUAUUUCAUACUCCGAUGGAGUAUCCUUUACAUGUCAUCAUAAUUAGGAGGUGAUCACUACACUUGACAUCCAUUCAAGAUCGAACGUAUAUAAUAAUACUAUCUCGCAUUUCAUACUGGAAUGGAUUAUAUGUUAGCUCUUCACCUCUACUACAUCAUGACAUGAGAUAUUAAGUUUAUGAUUAGACAAGGACUGAUAGGAUUUGUACAUUACUCUAUAAUAUAAGUAUAAUUAUCUCCUA
rnacentral:lncRNA from 1 species